AUAAACUAAUUUAAGAGCAUUAGACGGAUACCUUGGUAUUUAAUUUUAAGACGUUUUUAUUACGAAAAAUUAUAGGUAGUUUUUAACAAUGAUCUAUAAAAUUCUUUUGAGGAAACUUAAGUAAUAAAUUCUUUAUUAUAUAUUUAGUGAAUUGAAACAUCUUAGUAGCUAAAAGAAAAGAAAUCAAAAGAGAUUCCGUUAGUAGUGGCGAGCGAAUGCGGAUUAGGUUUAUUUUAAAUAAUAUGUAUUUGAAUUCCUAAGAAGGUUUAGUCCUGUAGAAUAUUAUUAUUUAAAAUUUUAGUAAAACAGUAUAUGUUUGUUCUGUUUGAAUAUAGGGGAACCAUCCUCUAAACCUAAAUAUAAUUAAAUAACCGAAAGCGUACAUAGUAUCGUGAGAGAAAGGUGAAAAAGAAUUCGUGAAAUUGAAAAGAUAUUGAAAUCUAAUGUUUACAAUCAAUUGAAGCUUUGUAAUAAGCAACAAUAUACCUUUUGCAUAAUGGGUCAACUACUUUAUUUAUAUAGCAAGCUUAAAUCUUUAGAUGUAGGCGUAGUUAAUGCAUAUAAUAAUAUUUUCACAGUUAUAUAAAUAAUACCCGAAAUCAAGUGAUCUAACCAUGAACAGGUUGAAAACAGGGUAACACUUGUUGAAGGACCGAACUCGUGUAUGUUGCAAUAUACUGGGAUGAUUUGUGGUUAGGAGUGAAAGGCUAAUCAAACUUGAAGAUAGCUGGUUUUCUGCGAAAUCUAUAGAAGUAGAGUGCUGAAUGUUUUUUAUGUAGGGUAGAGAACUUUUUAAAUGAGGGGAACACUUUGUUUUACCGAGUUUAGGAAAACUUCGAAUAUGCAUAUUUUAAAGUUUAGUAAACAGACUGUGGGUGCUAAGGUCCAUGGUCAAGAGGGAAACAGCCCAGACUGUAUGCUAAGGUCUUGAAGUUUUUUUUUAUCGAAUAAGGAUAUUUAAUUACGAUUAUAACCAAAAGGUAGGCCCGGAAGCAGCCAUUCUUUAACGAAAGCGUAAUAGCUCAUUGGUUUAGUAAUUUAAGUCCUAAGAUUUAUAUAGACUUAAAAAAAACACCGAAGCAGCAGAAUUUAAUUUUUUAAUUAAAUUGGUAGCAGAACGUUUUGUAUAUUUUAAGAUAAAUUGUAAAAUUUAUUAAAUUAAUAUCAAAAGUGAUAAUGUUGACAUGAGUAACGAUAAACAGAGAUUUAAAUCUUUGUCGCCGUAAAUUUAAGGUUUUCAGUGUUAAAAUUUAUUGCAUUGAGUUAGUCGGUCUCUAAGAAUAAAUUGCGAAAGCUUUUUUUGAUGAGUAUUUGUAUUUAUAUGGACAUUUUAUUUUUUAUUUAUUAAAUUAAUGGUUUUUUAAUAAAUUGAUAAUAAAAUCUAGAAAAAAAAAUACAGUAUAAACCGUACUAUAAACCGACACAGGUAAAUAGGUUGAAUAAACUAAGGCGUAAAGAGAACUAUGGUGAAGGAACUCGGCAAAUUGACUUUGUAACUUUGGAAGAAAAAGUUCCUAUUAAACUAGGAGUUAUAUAAAAGGGGGUUGCGACUGUUUAUUAAAAACACAGGAUUCUGCUAAAUCGUAAGAUGAAGUAUAGGAUCUGACACCUGCCCGGUGCUAGUAUGAUAAAAUAUUAAGGUUUAUUGCUUUGAUAUUUAAUGUCUAGUAAACGGCAGCCGUAACACUGACGGUUCUAAGGUAGCGAAAUUCCUUGUCAGCUAAUUACUGACCUGCAUGAAUGGUGUAACGACUUCCCCACUGUCUCCACCAUAGACUUUGUGAAAUUGAUAUAUCGGUGAAAACGCCGAUUUCUUGUGAUAGGACGCGAAGACCCUAUGCACCUUUACUACACCUUUAUAUUGCUUUUGAUAUUAUCAUGCAUAGAAUAGGCGGGAGCCAUUAUAACACCUUAAUUCCGGUUAAUUGUGGAGGCUUCUUUGUAAUACCGCCCUUGAUAUUUAUCUGAGCUAAUUUUUGUUUUAAAAUAUUUUGACAUUGUAAAGUUGGUAGUUUGAUUGGGGAGGUUUUCUCCUAAAAUGUAACGGAGAAGUACUAAGGUAAGUUCGGGUUGAUAAUUUUAUCAACUUUAGAGUGUAAUGGCAUAAACUUGCUUGACUGUAAGACUUACUAGUCGAACAGAAACGAAAGUUGGUCAUAGUGAUCCGGUGGUUCUGUAUGGAAAGGCCAUCGCUUAACGGAUAAAAGGUACGCUAGGGAUAACAGGCUGAUAAUUCUUGAGAGUUCUUAUCGAUGGAAUUGUUUGGCACCUCGAUGUCGGCUCAUCACAUCCUAGUGCUGCAGUAGGUUCUAAGGGUUUGGCUGUUCGCCAAUUAAAGUGGUACGCGAGCUGGGUUUAAAACGUCGUGAGACAGUUUGGUUUCUAUCUAUCAUGAGGGUUAUAAUAUUGAAAGGAGAAUACUUUAGUACGUAAGGAUUAAGUAUGGUUGACCUCUGGUUUAUCAAUUAUUCUACCAAGAGUAUCGUUGAGUAGCUACGUCAAUUUGGAAUAAUUGCUGUAAAAUUAAAUAAGCAAGAAAUCCUCCUUAAUAUUUAUAUUAUUUUUAUAAAUUUAUUUAUAAUUACAAAUUGUAGAAGACUACUACUUUAAUAGGCUUUGUGUGUAAGUUUGGUAACAAAUUUAGCUAAAAAGUACUAAUAUUUUUGUUGGGUUUAUUUUUUAUUACUAU
rnacentral:rRNA from 1 species